rnacentral:rRNA from 1 species
GUGACAGCCCCGUACACAAAAAUGCACAUACUGUGAGCUCGAUGAGUAGGGCGGGACACGUGGUAUCCUGUCUGAAUAUGGGGGGACCAUCCUCCAAGGCUAAAUACUCCUGACUGACCGAUAGUGAACCAGUACCGUGAGGGAAAGGCGAAAAGAACCCCGGCGAGGGGAGUGAAAAAGAACCUGAAACCGUGUACGUACAAGCAGUGGGAGCCUCUUUUAUGGGGUGACUGCGUACCUUUUGUAUAAUGGGUCAGCGACUUAUAUUCUGUAGCAAGGUUAACCGAAUAGGGGAGCCGAAGGGAAACCGAGUCUUAACUGGGCGUUAAGUUGCAGGGUAUAGACCCGAAACCCGGUGAUCUAGCCAUGGGCAGGUUGAAGGUUGGGUAACACUAACUGGAGGACCGAACCGACUAAUGUUGAAAAAUUAGCGGAUGACUUGUGGCUGGGGGUGAAAGGCCAAUCAAACCGGGAGAUAGCUGGUUCUCCCCGAAAGCUAUUUAGGUAGCGCCUCGUGAAUUCAUCUCCGGGGGUAGAGCACUGUUUCGGCAAGGGGGUCAUCCCGACUUACCAACCCGAUGCAAACUGCGAAUACCGGAGAAUGUUAUCACGGGAGACACACGGCGGGUGCUAACGUCCGUCGUGAAGAGGGAAACAACCCAGACCGCCAGCUAAGGUCCCAAAGUCAUGGUUAAGUGGGAAACGAUGUGGGAAGGCCCAGACAGCCAGGAUGUUGGCUUAGAAGCAGCCAUCAUUUAAAGAAAGCGUAAUAGCUCACUGGUCGAGUCGGCCUGCGCGGAAGAUGUAACGGGGCUAAACCAUGCACCGAAGCUGCGGCAGCGACGCUUAUGCGUUGUUGGGUAGGGGAGCGUUCUGUAAGCCUGCGAAGGUGUGCUGUGAGGCAUGCUGGAGGUAUCAGAAGUGCGAAUGCUGACAUAAGUAACGAUAAAGCGGGUGAAAAGCCCGCUCGCCGGAAGACCAAGGGUUCCUGUCCAACGUUAAUCGGGGCAGGGUGAGUCGACCCCUAAGGCGAGGCCGAAAGGCGUAGUCGAUGGGAAACAGGUUAAUAUUCCUGUACUUGGUGUUACUGCGAAGGGGGGACGGAGAAGGCUAUGUUGGCCGGGCGACGGUUGUCCCGGUUUAAGCGUGUAGGCUGGUUUUCCAGGCAAAUCCGGAAAAUCAAGGCUGAGGCGUGAUGACGAGGCACUACGGUGCUGAAGCAACAAAUGCCCUGCUUCCAGGAAAAGCCUCUAAGCAUCAGGUAACAUCAAAUCGUACCCCAAACCGACACAGGUGGUCAGGUAGAGAAUACCAAGGCGCUUGAGAGAACUCGGGUGAAGGAACUAGGCAAAAUGGUGCCGUAACUUCGGGAGAAGGCACGCUGAUAUGUAGGUGAAGCGACUUGCUCGUGGAGCUGAAAUCAGUCGAAGAUACCAGCUGGCUGCAACUGUUUAUUAAAAACACAGCACUGUGCAAACACGAAAGUGGACGUAUACGGUGUGACGCCUGCCCGGUGCCGGAAGGUUAAUUGAUGGGGUUAGCGGUAACGCGAAGCUCUUGAUCGAAGCCCCGGUAAACGGCGGCCGUAACUAUAACGGUCCUAAGGUAGCGAAAUUCCUUGUCGGGUAAGUUCCGACCUGCACGAAUGGCGUAAUGAUGGCCAGGCUGUCUCCACCCGAGACUCAGUGAAAUUGAACUCGCUGUGAAGAUGCAGUGUACCCGCGGCAAGACGGAAAGACCCCGUGAACCUUUACUAUAGCUUGACACUGAACAUUGAGCCUUGAUGUGUAGGAUAGGUGGGAGGCUUUGAAGUGUGGACGCCAGUCUGCAUGGAGCCGGCCUUGAAAUACCACCCUUUAAUGUUUGAUGUUCUAACGUUGGCCCCUGAUCGGGGUUGCGGACAGUGUCUGGUGGGUAGUUUGACUGGGGCGGUCUCCUCCUAAAGAGUAACGGAGGAGCACGAAGGUUGGCUAAUCCUGGUCGGACAUCAGGAGGUUAGUGCAAUGGCAUAAGCCAGCUUGACUGCGAGCGUGACGGCGCGAGCAGGUGCGAAAGCAGGUCAUAGUGAUCCGGUGGUUCUGAAUGGAAGGGCCAUCGCUCAACGGAUAAAAGGUACUCCGGGGAUAACAGGCUGAUACCGCCCAAGAGUUCAUAUCGACGGCGGUGUUUGGCACCUCGAUGUCGGCUCAUCACAUCCUGGGGCUGAAGUAGGUCCCAAGGGUAUGGCUGUUCGCCAUUUAAAGUGGUACGCGAGCUGGGUUUAGAACGUCGUGAGACAGUUCGGUCCCUAUCUGCCGUGGGCGCUGGAGAACUGAGGGGGGCUGCUCCUAGUACGAGAGGACCGGAGUGGACGCAUCACUGGUGUUCGGGUUGUCAUGCCAAUGGCACUGCCCGGUAGCUAAAUGCGGAAGAGAUAAGUGCUGAAAGCAUCUAAGCACGAAACUUGCCCCGA